rfam:Neurospora crassa OR74A linkage group VI, whole genome shotgun sequence.
GUCAACAUGGCCGAGUGGUUAAGGCGACAGACUUGAAUAAUCCUCACUAUUCUUGCCUAUCUGUUGGGUUCGCCCGCGUAGGUUCGAACCCUACUGUUGACG